rnacentral:misc_RNA from 1 species
AACCUAGCACACCUGCGGUGUGUACCUGCGGAGGGAUCAUUACAAUAAAGGCGUCUUCGGGCGCCGCCUGUCUAACAGGAAUUCUUGUAUUUUGUACCAUUGUUGCCUCGGUGGGCUCGCCCACCGGUAUAGGCCCCCUUCAAACUCUUUGCAAUUGCAGUAUCAGUCUGAAAACAAAAACAAUUAAUCAAAACUUUCAACAACGGAUCU